rnacentral:rRNA from 1 species
UACGUAGGGGGGCAAGCGUUGUCCGGAUUUAUUGGGCGUAAAAGAGCGUGUAGGCGGCUUUACAGGUCCGUUGUGAAAACCCACAGCUCAACUGUGGGCUUGCGGUCGAUACGGGCAGGCUCGAGUUCGGUAGGGGGAGACUGGAAUUCCUGGUGUAGCGGUGAAAUGCGCAGAUAUCAGGAGGAACACCGGUGGCGAAGGCGGGUCUCUGGGCCGAUACUGACGUGAGGAGCGAAAGCGUGGGGGAGCGAACAGG